AUAUCCCAGCCACCGACCCCUCUGUUUUACCUUCGAUCCAAGACCCAUCAAUGUUGAAUUUCAGAAUUCCCGGUUCUGGGGGCGUCCAGCGUUCUGUCUUAGCUUUCGCCGUCUAGCUCCUCGAUUCAGGCGUUCCUUACCUUCCAAAUUUGCUAGAGGACUCCUGCAAGCAUUUCCCGACCCGAUUGUACUGAGCUUUUGGGGAGUGCUUCGUUGAUCCAUUUGUCCAUCCUUGUUAGAUUUAUCAGUGAUACGUCCAUCUGGAUUCUCGGGUCUGACCAUAUGUUGUUGGUCCAGUCACAGAGGGUGAAGAUGUGCUCCAUCGUCUCAGGAUGUUUUUGGCAAAUUGGACAAAGUGGGUCAGGUAAGGCCCUUCUUUUAUAUAGAUUUUCCGAAGUUGGCAGAGCAUUACUACACACACACCAUAUGAAAAAUCGAAUUUUUGGUUCUGUGCGUAAUU